rnacentral:rRNA from 1 species
AGCGAACGCUGGCGGCAGGCUUAACACAUGCAAGUCGAACGGGCAUAGCAAUAUGUCAGUGGCAGACGGGUGCGUAACGCGUGGGAACGUACCUUUUGGUUCGGAACAACACAGGGAAACUUGUGCUAAUACCGGAUAAGCCCUUACGGGGAAAGAUUUAUCGCCGAAAGAUCGGCCCGCGUCUGAUUAGCUAGUUGGUAGGGUAAUGGCCUACCAAGGCGACGAUCAGUAGCUGGUCUGAGAGGAUGAUCAGCCACAUUGGGACUGAGACACGGCCCAAACUCCUACGGGAGGCAGCAGUGGGGAAUAUUGGACAAUGGGCGAAAGCCUGAUCCAGCCAUGCCGCGUGAGUGAUGAAGGCCCUAGGGUUGUAAAGCUCUUUUGUGCGGGAAGAUAAUGACGGUACCGCAAGAAUAAGCCCCGGCUAACUUCGUG